rnacentral:rRNA from 1 species
CACGUAGGGCGCAAGCGUUGUCCGGAAUUAUUGGGCGUAAAGAGCUCGUAGGCGGUCUGUUGCGUCCGCUGUGAAAGCCCGGGGCUUAACCCCGGGUCGGCAGUGGAUACGGGCAGGCUAGAGGUAGGUAGGGGAGAAUGGAAUUCCCGGUGUAGCGGUGAAAUGCGCAGAUAUCGGGAGGAACACCGGUGGCGAAGGCGGUUCUCUGGGCCUUACCUGACGCUGAGGAGCGAAAGCGUGGGGAGCGAACAGG